AGUGAACGCUGGCGGUAGGCCUAACACAUGCAAGUCGAACGGCAGCACAGUAAGAGCUUGCUCUUACGGGUGGCGAGUGGCGGACGGGGGAGGAAUACAUCGGAAUCUACUUUUUCGUGGGGGAUAACGUAGGGAAACUUACGCUAAUACCGCAUACGACCUACGGGGGAAAGCAGGGGAUCUUCGGACCUUGCGGGAUGGAAUGAGCCGAUGUCGGAUUAGCUAGUUGGCGGGGUAAAGGCCCACCAAGGCGACGAUCCGUAGCUGGUCUGAGAGGAUGAUCAGCCACACUGGAACUGAGACACGGUCCAGACUCCUACGGGAGGCAGCAGUGGGGAAUAUUGGACAAUGGGCGCAAGCCUGAUCCAGCCAUACCGCGUGGGUGAAGAAGGCCUUCGGGUUGUAAAGCCCUUUUGUUGGGAAAGAAAAGCAGCAGGUUAAUACCCCGCUGUUCUGACGGUACCCAAAGAAUAAGCACCGGCUAACUUCGUG
rnacentral:rRNA from 1 species